rnacentral:rRNA from 1 species
UACGAAGGGGGCUAGCGUUGUUCGGAAUUACUGGGCGUAAAGCGCACGUAGGCGGAAUGUUAAGUCAGGGGUGAAAUCCCGGGGCUCAACCCCGGAACUGCCUUUGAUACUGGCAUUCUCGAGUCCGGAAGAGGUGAGUGGAAUUCCGAGUGUAGAGGUGAAAUUCGUAGAUAUCAAGCAGAACACCUGCGGCGAAGGCGGCCUUCUGGACGAUGACUGACGCUGAGACGCGAAAGCGUGGGGAGCGAACAGG